rnacentral:lncRNA from 1 species
CUGCAUCAAUGAUACAUAAGGAAUUAGUUUUGUAUUUACCUCCUGCCACUCCUUAACCUAGACCUUAUGUGUAUUGUCGAGUCUUUGAAGACUGGAAAACAUGCAAUAAGUUUAUCAGAUUUCAGAGGUUUUCCACCAUAAGUCGCAUACAUAUCACAACCCUGGAUCCCUCCUUUAUGACAUGCAGACUCAACCAACUCUUUAACAGUUGUUGUGUUGAGAUGUUCUUGCAUUGAUACUUACUUUC